GAUGAACGCUGACAGAAUGCUUAACACAUGCAAGUCGACUUGAACUUCGGUUCGGGUGGCGGACGGGUGAGUAACGCGUAAAGAACUUGCCUCACAGCUAGGGACAACAUUUGGAAACGAAUGCUAAUACCUGAUAUUAUGAUUAUAUGGCAUCGUAUAAUUAUGAAAGCUAUAUGCGCUGUGAGAGAGCUUUGCGUCCCAUUAGCUAGUUGGAGAGGUAACAGCUCACCAUGGCGAGGAUGGGUAGCCGGCCUGAGGGGGUGAUCGGCAACAAGGGGACUGGGACACGGCCCUUACUCCAACGGGAGGCAGCGUGGGGGAAUAUUGGACAUGGGACCGAGAGUCUGGUCCAGCAAUUCUGUGUGGACGAUGAAGUUUUUCGGAAUGUAAAGUGCUUUCAGGUGGGAAGAAAAAAAUGACGGUACCAACAGAAGAAGUAACGGCUAAAUACGUG
rnacentral:rRNA from 1 species